UACGGGGGGGGCAAGCGGUGUUCGGAAUUACUGGGCGUAAAGGGCUCGUAGGUGGCCAACUAAGUCGGACGUGAAAUCCCUCGGCUUAACCGGGGAACUGCGUCUGAUACUGGAUGGCUUGAGGUUGGGAGAGGGAUGCGGAAUUCCAGGUGUAGCGGUGAAAUGCGUAGAUAUCUGGAGGAACACCGGUGGCGAAGGCGGCAUCCUGGACCAAUUCUGACACUGAGGAGCGAAAGCCAGGGGAGCAAACGGG
rnacentral:rRNA from 1 species